rnacentral:rRNA from 1 species
CACCAAGAAGUUGAGUCAUAUUAAUAAUGGUAAAAAGACAGUUAGACAUAAUAAAUUAAAAGGUUUAUUUGAUUCUUUAUAAAAAGGUAAAAUUUAUAUAUAAUUUCAUAAUUUAAUUAAAAACCGUAAAGUUGAAUCUGUGAUAGCUUGGAGGGAAACUGGGAUUAGAUACCCCAUUAUUCCUAGAUGUAAAUUAAAAUUAAAUUUACCAGAGUACUAUGAAUAUAUAAAAUUUAAAACUCAAAGGACUUGGCGGUGUUUUAGACCACUUAGGGGAACCUGUCUCGUAAUCGAUAGUCCACGUUACACCUGACCUUUUUUUGCUUUCAGCUUGUAUAUCGUUGUCGUCAGGUAACUUUUUAGAAAUUAGAAGUUAGCUAAAAACUAGUGAAUUUAAACGUCAAAUCAAGGUGCAGUUAAUAAAAAGGAGAAGAUGGGUUACAAUUAUUUAAUUAUAAUUACGGAGAAUCAUAAGAAUUGAUGAUUGUUAAGGAGGACUUAAAAGUAAAUUAAAUUAUAUAAAUAAUUUGAAUAAGGCUCUGAAAUGUGC